GCUAUGAUGAGGCUCAACUCAGCCGGAUGUUUGUGCUCCCAUGCUCACAGCGGCACUGGCCGCAGCAGCUGGGGAGGGAGUGGAUCCCGCGUGCAGUCGGCGAGACGGACGUGCUCCCUGCGCAGUGGGGCUGCGUUCAGUUCUCCGAGGACGGGCUCUGACGCGCUGCCUGUGGACCAGCCCUGUGGGCACUAGGCAGGGAACACCUCCUUCACCGUCACCUCUAGGCAGCACCCUAUUCACUGCCACCUCCAGGGAGCACCUCCUUCACCAUCACCUCCAGGAGCACCUCCAUCACUGUCAUUUCCAGGAGCACCUCCAUCACCUCCAGGGAGCACCUCCUUCACCGUCACCUCCAGGAGCACCUCCAUCACUGUCAUUUCCAGGAGCACCUCCAUCACCCCAGGGAGCACCUCCAUCACCAUCACCUCCAGGAGCACCUCCUUCACCAUCACCUCCAGGAGCACCUCCACCACCAUCACCUCCAGGGAGCAACUCCAUCACCGUCACUUCCAGGAGCACCUCCAGGGAGCACCUCCAUCACUGUCACCUCCAGGGAGCACCUCCUUCACUGUCACCUCCAGGAGCACUUCUAUCACCUCCAGGGAGCAUCUCCAUCACCAUCACCUCCAGAGAGCACCUCCUUCACUGUCACUUCCAGAACACCUCCAUCACCUCCAGGAGCACCCCCCCCCCCCACCCCCCCCCACCCCCACCCCCCCCCCCCCCACCACCCCCGGAGCACUCCAUCACCAUCACCUCCAGGAGCACCUCCUUCACCAUCACCUCCAGGAGCACCUCCACCACCAUCACCUCCAGGGAGCAACUCCAUCACCGUCACUUCCAGGAGCACUCCAGGGAGCACCUCCAUCACUGUCACCUCCAGGGAGCACCUCCUUCACUGUCACCUCCAGGAGCACUUCUAUCACCUCCAGGGAGCAUCUCUAUCACCAUCACCUCCAGAGAGCACCUCCUUCACUGUCACUUCCAGGAACACCUCCAUCACCUCCAGGGAGCAUCUCCUUCACUGUCACCUCCAGGGAGCAUCUCCAUCACCAUCACCUCCAGGAGCACCCCCAUCACCAUCACCUCCAGGAGCACCCCCAUCACCAUCACCUCCAGGGAGCACCUCCUUAACUGUCACCUCCAGGGAGCACCUCCAUCAGCUGUCACCUCCAGGGAGCACCUCCAUCACCUCCAGGGAACACCUCUUUCACCAUCACCUCCAAGAGCACCUUUAUCACCAUCAUCUUCAGGGAUCACCUCUGUUGUUGGAGGGAAGCACCUCUGUCACUGUCCUCUCCCUCCUGGGCUCCAAGUCGUGACUGGUCAGCCUCAGUGCAGCCAAGGGUGGGGGGCUCUAAGGCCUGAGGCCUCUCUGGCAUCACCCUCUUAAUAAAUCUCUCUCUCUGUAGCCAAAAACAUUUCAUGUCAUUUCUUCCUUGAUGUCACUUUCCUCACUGAAUACCUGAUUAAUGCAACAUGAGAAUAAUUUACAAUAAAAUGACUGUAUUUGCCAUGAAGCCCAGGUCAGAUGUGGGGGGUGAGACCACCGGAGCAGCCAGUCCUGGAGCCCGCAGGGUGGGCUGCACGCCUGCCUGUCUUCUGCUGUGGGCUCUGGAGCUAACAGAAGGGCCUGUGCCAGUGCUGGCGACAGUCUUCCCCAGCCAAAGCCUGCCUGGGCCGCACAGCUGUGGCUUGACUGUCAGCAGCUCCUGAACGUGGCACUAUGCUGGUGGCAUUCUUGCUUCUGCUCUGUUUGUGACAAACACGAGGUCACACCAAAUGCCAGAAAGUUCAAGGAAGGAUCUGUUUUCUGAAAAAAGGCAGCAGUGUUUCUGUGUUGGUGGUGACCUUGGGGCAUCACCCCACUCUGAUCUCUUGAGCCACUGUGAUCUCUUCUGGCUCCAGCAUCUCCCUCCCACGGGCUGCAAGACUCAGGAAGACAGCAGGGUCUGAUGGGGGCUCCUGGGUUUCAGUUCCACCUUCCACUUUGCACAACAUGAUGGGGGGUGACUUAACCUGCUGAACUUCAGACGUCCCAUUUACAGGACAGAGAUGAAGAAAACCCAAGCACACGGUUCCCCAAGCACCUGGCUGGGUUCCAGGUGCCCGGGACAGGUGGGUGGCCCUGCCCACUGGAGCUCCCACUCUGGAGCACAGAGCCCAGAAACGGGGGCACCAUAAAUUGGAACUCAGAGCAGAAAGGCCUUGUCAGGUGGGAGGUAGGCCUGCUGUGGGGCUAUGCACACAGUUCCACUUCCAAAGGCUAAGGAAGACGGGGUGAUACUCACCAGCUUCCCUAAAUCCCCCAUGCUUGUUUCAUAGAUGAGGAAAUCUGGGCUUUAGCCAGAAGAGCCUGCUAGGCUCACGGGGGCUAGAAGCGGUGGACUCUGGACCCUCCACUGUGGACGGCAGAGUAAUGGCCCCGAUGAUGAUCAAGUCUCAUCCCCAGAAUCUGAGAACGAGUCGUGUUUCACGGAAGAGGGAACGGAAGCUACUCCUCAGCCUACACUGAGACAGGGGCCUGUGGUGGGCUGUUGGGGGCGGCGCCUGAUGUAGUCGUCUGUGGUGGGCUGUUCCCGGCGGUGCGUGAGGUAGCGCCUGUGGUGGGCUGUUCCGGGUGGCGCCUGAUGUAGUAGAUUGUGAUGGGCUGUUCCGGGCGGUGCCUGAGGUAGCGUCUGUGGUGGGCAGUUCCGGGUGGUGCCUGAAGUAGUCGUCUGUGGUGGGCUGUUCCCGGCGGUGCCUGAGGUAGCGUCUGUGGUGGGCUGUUCCGGGCGGCGCCUGAUGUAGUAGAUUGUGAUGGGCUGUUCCGGGCGGUGCCUGAGGUAGCGUCUGUGGUGGGCUGUUCCCAGCGGCGCGUGAGGUCGCAUCUAUGGUGGGCUGUUCCUGGCGGCGCCUGAUGUAGCAUCUGUGGUGGGCUGUUCAGGGCGGCGCCUGAAGUAGUCGUCUGUGGUGGACUUUCCGGGCGGUGCCUGGUGUAGUCGCAGGGUCCUCACAGCUGACAGAAGGAGGCACAGGCAGGGGGAGUCCCAGACGCCGGUGAGAGAUUCGGCCGCCGCCGCUGGCUCGGGAGACAGGAGGAGCCCCAAGCUGGGGAAAGGGCAGCUUCGAGAUGUUGAAAAGGGCUGGAAACAGAGUGUCCCCGAAGCUUCCGGUAGGACUCAGCCGUGAGACACUGUGACUUCAGCCUGGGGAGCCCCGGGCCAGACCUCCGGCCCCUAGAGCUGUAGAGCAGGGUGGUCCCCAACAUUUUUGGCAUUAGGGAGCAGUUUGGUGGAAAAUUUUUCCACAGAUGGAGUUGGCGGGGAGAUGGUUCCAGGAUGAAACUGCUCAUCCUCAGAUCAUCAGGCACUGGAUUCUCAUAAGAAGGUGGAACCUGGGUACUUUGCACGCGCAAUUCACAGUGGGGUUCUCGCUCCUAUGAGACUCCAAUGCUGCCGCUGGUCUGACAGGAGGCGGAGCUCAGACUCUAAUGCCACUAUACCGCCACUCACCUUCUGCUGUGCGCCGGCUCCCAACAGGCCACGGACCCGCACUGGUCCUCGGCCCGAGUUGGGGACCCCUGCUGUUGGGGACAGACUCGUGCUGUCUUCAUCCGCCGAGCUUGUGGGCAUUCAUUUCAGCAGGCUCAGGAAACUCACACACCCUCAGGUGCGUCCAGUCCCAAGACCCCAGUAUCAACCACCCUCCCCCCGACCCCGUCCCGGGGCUAGACUGUGUAACACGCCAUCUGCACGUGGGCUGUGGAGCUCAGCAUGUCUGCAGGAAGGCGCCAGAUGCGCCCAGGACCCCAUGGUGUUACUGCCGUCCGCCGUCUUCAAGGGCCCAAGGGCUUCUUGCUGCCUCCCGGGCCUGUGACCCAGCAGGGGCUGACUCGCUGCCUCUGUAUGGUAGAUGCUUGAUUCCCAGGAACACAGGCACACGUGUUCCCGAGGAACCCCAGCCUCACUCCAACUAGGACUCUCCCUCCGUGUGCCUCCUUCUUUCGGGUUGAGGACCCCGUGGCAACAUCACCCCUCACCCUGGACAGCCCAGGGUGCUGCCUCCCUGCAGCCUCUGCCUUCCUUGGAGCCCCUGCAGCCCCAUUGCUGCCCGGAUCCCGGCUCUCCAUGGUUCGCAGAGCCCUUUGCCCGUGCGUUUGUCCCUCACCUCGGUGGCCUCUGCACGUCAUAACUCUCCUGACGGAACCCAUUGUAGAGUGACCUGGGCUGCCCAGACCCCCCUAUGUGCUGUCAGGGUGCACAGGACACAGCUUGCUAAAAAGUGGGAGGCAGGUAAGAACAGCUGAG
ensembl:lncRNA